CUGUAUGUGUCUGGAGUACUUUGAUGCCUUGGAUUGGAAGCUAACUUAAAAGAUGAACUUUUGAGGGUGUGUUUUCUAUUGUGUGGGGCUUUUGUCGAAAUUAGGAUUCCGAAACACGUUUUUCUACGGUGGGUUCAUUCGACAGCGAUUUACUUUCUUAGAAGUUGCGAGACGGUAUGUUUUUGAUUGCAAUUAUUGGAAGAUGACAGAUCCAUCUUUAAAAUGAUACCAGGUUCAGAAAAAUUGAUACGUCGAAAAGGCAAGAAAAAUGCUGUGAAAGUUGUCAGUUUUAUAAUGGGACCCUAUGGGAAUCGGAAUUAGUGUAAUAUAACCUUUAAAAGCACAUUUACUGCAAUGUCAAGGUCACAUGGAUUCGUCUGCAAGCGAGACAAGUAGAAAAUGAAUUUUAAUGAAUGUUUUGAUGAUUUGGGUGCUAAAAUAGAUGAGAGAUCUCAAUAUUUUGGUCUAAAUGGAUGUUUUAGGUGGUUUUGGACUGUUCCGGAUGGGUGGGGGACCUGGUAUGGACAAGUAAGGGCCUGACCAUUUGUCCUUGAGCCGCAGAUGGUCAACAAUCCGCUAGCUGUCUUGCUCUGACUGGUGCACUGGACAUGAUUUCAAUAGUCAGCCAGACCAUGAUUGAGCUUAAGGAUUGUGCUGCGGAUGCGGCCUGUGCAGUUCCGGGAGAAAGUCACUGUCUUGGGCAAUGCGGUCUGGUAUCAGGUCUGGAUGAUCCUUGCCUGACUGCGGGUUUGUGUACACCUCAAUCCGACUCGGUGUCCUGAACAGAGGCCUCAGUGGUGCAGCGCUUGUUGACGAUCCAUCAACAUCCUGAAAGGUCAACACUUCACCAAGCUGGGAAAAUUGAUCCCGAUACUCAUCCCCAGGCCUGACCAUUUGUCCUUGAGCCGCAGAUGGUCAACAAUCCGCUAGCUGUCUUGCUCUGACUGGUGCACUGGACAUGAUUUCAAUAGUCAGCCAGACCAUGAUUGAGCUUAAGGAUUGUGCUGCGGAUGCGGCCUGUGCAGUUCCGGGAGAAAGUCACUGUCUUGGGCAAUGCGGUCUGGUAUCAGGUCUGGAUGAUCCUUGCCUGACUGCGGGUUUGUGUACACCUCAAUCCGACUCGGUGUCCUGAACAGAGGCCUCAGUGGUGCAGCGCUUGUUGACGAUCCAUCAACAUCCUGAAAGGUCAACACUUCACCAAGCUGGGAAAAUUGAUCCCGAUACUCAUCCCCAGGUAGUGGAAUGAAUGUACACUGAACUACAGAGGAAUCACACCCAAAUGACUUUCCUGCCACGACAUUUGUGUGGCAGCUCGCGUAGGAAUUCCUUAGCAAACAUGCUCUUUUGCAUGGUGACUGUGGGCAUUUUUGCAAAACUUAAGCUUUCAACACUGGAUUUUAAAGAGAAUACUUAAUAAAAUGUCGCUAACAGGACUUAUUUUUAUGAAAGAGACUAUCUGGAUGCGCAACAAGUGUCACUUUGUGUCGUAAGCUGUUGAAGGAGCGAUUUGCGCCUUUUUAAGUGUUAAUUUUGGGUAGCAGGCUUGUAUCGGCUUGAAAGCUGCAAAUUAUGCCUCUGAUCAUAAUAGCAUUAAUUUUUGUAAUUGCAAUGUGUAUGUUUUGAUUGUAAGUGAAGCUUUUAAUAAUAAUUUUCUUGAAAAACAUGAUUUUAUAUGCUGUCAGUGAGUUUUUUAUUGAAAAAAGUGCUUAAAAUAAAAAAAAGUCUCCUUUUUCAUCAAGAAAAGUACACUGAUUCACAAUCAAUACAUUUAUUUGGGCCUUUUGCUGAUAUAUUGGUGAAUUUCGCAUGCAAUGAUACCAGUUUUUGCCAUAAAAGUUACGCGUAACAAUAAUUGGAGACACAAAAUCAGCUGUCGUCACUUAGACUAAAAAUCAUGCAUUCCGACUCGACUGCGGCCAAUUUAGUCACCGCUUUAAAUGGCCAUUUUAAGGCCUUUACCCCCAUCCGUAUGCACUGAAAUUGCAUAUUCAUGGUGGAAAUAGUUCAAAUCUCAUGUGGAGAAAGUUUGAAAAGGAUAGGACAAAGUUGAGUUCCCUUUAAGGUUACAUUACACUAAAUCAUUGUGUAUCCCUCCGUGGUCCAUUCGAAAGUAGUGCCUAUUUCUAAAGAGUUCCUUUUCUCUUCUUGAAUAUAAGCCAUUUAACAAUGUGAGACAUGUCUUUUGUGGUUAUUUGUAAUAUCCUGUAUGUGUCUGGAGUACUUUGAUGCCUUGGAUUGGAAGCUAACUUAAAAGAUGAACUUUUGAGGGUGUGUUUUCUAUUGUGUGGGGCUUUUGUCGAAAUUAGGAUUCCGAAACACGUUUUUCUACGGUGGGUUCAUUCGACAGCGAUUUACUUUCUUAGAAGUUGCGAGACGGUAUGUUUUUGAUUGCAAUUAUUGGAAGAUGACAGAUCCAUCUUUAAAAUGAUACCAGGUUCAGAAAAAUUGAUACGUCGAAAAGGCAAGAAAAAUGCUGUGAAAGUUGUCAGUUUUAUAAUGGGACCCUAUGGGAAUCGGAAUUAGUGUAAUAUAACCUUUAAAAGCACAUUUACUGCAAUGUCAAGGUCACAUGGAUUCGUCUGCAAGCGAGACAAGUAGAAAAUGAAUUUUAAUGAAUGUUUUGAUGAUUUGGGUGCUAAAAUAGAUGAGAGAUCUCAAUAUUUUGGUCUAAAUGGAUGUUUUAGGUGGUUUUGGACUGUUCCGGAUGGGUGGGGGACCUGGUAUGGACAAGCCUGACCAUUUGUCCUUGAGCCGCAGAUGGUCAACAAUCCGCUAGCUGUCUUGCUCUGACUGGUGCACUGGACAUGAUUUCAAUAGUCAGCCAGACCAUGAUUGAGCUUAAGGAUUGUGCUGCGGAUGCGGCCUGUGCAGUUCCGGGAGAAAGUCACUGUCUUGGGCAAUGCGGUCUGGUAUCAGGUCUGGAUGAUCCUUGCCUGACUGCGGGUUUGUGUACACCUCAAUCCGACUCGGUGUCCUGAACAGAGGCCUCAGUGGUGCAGCGCUUGUUGACGAUCCAUCAACAUCCUGAAAGGUCAACACUUCACCAAGCUGGGAAAAUUGAUCCCGAUACUCAUCCCCAGGUAGUGGAAUGAAUGUACACUGAACUACAGAGGAAUCACACCCAAAUGACUUUCCUGCCACGACAUUUGUGUGGCAGCUCGCGUAGGAAUUCCUUAGCAAACAUGCUCUUUUGCAUGGUGACUGUGGGCAUUUUUGCAAAACUUAAGCUUUCAACACUGGAUUUUAAAGAGAAUACUUAAUAAAAUGUCGCUAACAGGACUUAUUUUUAUGAAAGAGACUAUCUGGAUGCGCAACAAGUGUCACUUUGUGUCGUAAGCUGUUGAAGGAGCGAUUUGCGCCUUUUUAAGUGUUAAUUUUGGGUAGCAGGCUUGUAUCGGCUUGAAAGCUGCAAAUUAUGCCUCUGAUCAUAAUAGCAUUAAUUUUUGUAAUUGCAAUGUGUAUGUUUUGAUUGUAAGUGAAGCUUUUAAUAAUAAUUUUCUUGAAAAACAUGAUUUUAUAUGCUGUCAGUGAGUUUUUUAUUGAAAAAAGUGCUUAAAAUAAAAAAAAGUCUCCUUUUUCAUCAAGAAAAGUACACUGAUUCACAAUCAAUACAUUUAUUUGGGCCUUUUGCUGAUAUAUUGGUGAAUUUCGCAUGCAAUGAUACCAGUUUUUGCCAUAAAAGUUACGCGUAACAAUAAUUGGAGACACAAAAUCAGCUGUCGUCACUUAGACUAAAAAUCAUGCAUUCCGACUCGACUGCGGCCAAUUUAGUCACCGCUUUAAAUGGCCAUUUUAAGGCCUUUACCCCCAUCCGUAUGCACUGAAAUUGCAUAUUCAUGGUGGAAAUAGUUCAAAUCUCAUGUGGAGAAAGUUUGAAAAGGAUAGGACAAAGUUGAGUUCCCUUUAAGGUUACAUUACACUAAAUCAUUGUGUAUCCCUCCGUGGUCCAUUCGAAAGUAGUGCCUAUUUCUAAAGAGUUCCUUUUCUCUUCUUGAAUAUAAGCCAUUUAACAAUGUGAGACAUGUCUUUUGUGGUUAUUUGUAAUAUCCUGUAUGUGUCUGGAGUACUUUGAUGCCUUGGAUUGGAAGCUAACUUAAAAGAUGAACUUUUGAGGGUGUGUUUUCUAUUGUGUGGGGCUUUUGUCGAAAUUAGGAUUCCGAAACACGUUUUUCUACGGUGGGUUCAUUCGACAGCGAUUUACUUUCUUAGAAGUUGCGAGACGGUAUGUUUUUGAUUGCAAUUAUUGGAAGAUGACAGAUCCAUCUUUAAAAUGAUACCAGGUUCAGAAAAAUUGAUACGUCGAAAAGGCAAGAAAAAUGCUGUGAAAGUUGUCAGUUUUAUAAUGGGACCCUAUGGGAAUCGGAAUUAGUGUAAUAUAACCUU